CCCUUAGAUGUCCUGGGCCGCACGCGCGUUACACUGAUGCAUUCAACGAGCUUAUAACCUUGGCCGAGAGGCCUGGGCAAUCUUGUUAACGUGCAUCGUGAUAGGGAUAGAUUAUUGAAAUUAUUAAUCUUGAACGAGGAAUUCCUAGUAAACGCAGAUCAUCAAUCUGCAUUGAUUACGUCCCUGCCCUUUGUACACACCGCCCGUCGCACCUACCGAUUGGAUGGUCCGGUGAAGCCUCGGGAUUGUGGUUCUUGCCGCUUUAUUGUGGCGUGACCGCGAGAACUUGUCUAAACCUUAUCAUCUAGAGGAAGGUGACGUCGUAACA
rnacentral:rRNA from 1 species